rnacentral:rRNA from 1 species
UACGUAGGGGGCAAGCGUUGUCCGGAUUUAUUGGGCGUAAAGAGCGUGUAGGCGGCUAGAUAGGUCCGUUGUGAAAACUCGAGGCUCAACCUCGAGACGUCGAUGGAAACCAUCUGGCUAGAGUCCGGAAGAGGAGAGUGGAAUUCCUGGUGUAGCGGUGAAAUGCGCAGAUAUCAGGAGGAACACCGGUGGCGAAGGCGGGUCUCUGGGCCGACAUUGACGCUGAGGAGCGAAAGCGUGGGGAGCGAACAGG